rnacentral:rRNA from 1 species
GGCCUAAUACAUGCAAGUCGAACGGUUGUAGCAAUACAAUAGUGGCGCACGGGUGCGUAACACGUAUGCAACCUACCUUAUAGACGGGGAUAGCCUUUGGAAACGGAGAUUAAUACCCGAUAGUAAUAUUGACUGGCAUCAGUUUAUAUUUAAAGAUUUAUCGCUAUAAGCUGGGCAUGCGUCCAAUUAGUUAGUUGGUGAGGUAACGGCUCACCAAGACGAUGAUUGGUAGGGGAACUGAGAGGUUAAUCCCCCACACUGGCACUGAGAUACGGGCCAGACUCCUACGGGAGGCAGCAGUAGGGAAUAUUGGGCAAUGGAGGCAACUCUGACCCAGCCAUGCCGCGUGCAGGAUGAAGGCGUUAUGCGUUGUAAACUGCUUUUAUAUAGGAAGAAAUAGACCUUGCGAGGUAAGUUGACGGUACUAUAUGAAUAAGCACCGGCUAACUCCGUGCCAGCAGCCGCGGUAAUACGGAGGGUGCAAGCGUUGUCCGGAUUUAUUGGGUUUAAAGGGUGCGUAGGCGGUUUAUUAAGUCAGUGGUGAAAGACGGUCGCUCAACGAUUGCAGUGCCAUUGAUACUGGUAGACUUGAGUGAGAUUGAGGUAGCUGGAAUGGAUAGUGUAGCGGUGAAAUGCAUAGAUAUUAUCCAGAACACCAAUUGCGUAGGCAAGUUACUAAGUCUCAACUGACGCUGAGGCACGAAAGUGUGGGUAUCAAACAGGAUUAGAUACCCUGGUAGUCCACACUGUAAACGAUGAUAACUAACUGUUGGCUUUUGGGUCAGUGGUACAGAGAAAUCGUUAAGUUAUCCACCUGGGUAGUACGCCGGCAACGGUGAA